CGCCUACACAUGCAGUCGAGCGAGGUACUUGUACCUAGCGGCAGACGGGUGCGUCCCUUUAGGGUAUCCGCCCUUUGGCCUGGAAUAACACGACCUUUAUUGUGCUAAUACCGGAUAAGUCUUUACGGAGAAAGCUUUAUGCACCAUUGGAUGAGCCCGCACUUGAUUAGUUUGUUGGUGGGGUAAUGGCCUACCAAGACUGUGAUCAAUAGCUGAUUUGAGAGGAUGAUCAGCCACAUUGGGACUGAGACACGGCCCAAACUCCUACGGGAGGCAGCAGUGGGGAAUCUUGCACAAUGGAGGAAACUCUGAUGCAGCGAUGCCGCGUGAGUGAAGAAGGCCUUUGGGUUGUAAAGCUCUUUCGUCGGGGAAGAAAAUGACUGUACCCGAUUAAUAGGGUCCGGCUAACUUCGUGCCAGCAGCCGCGGUAAUACGAAGGGACCUAGCGUAGUUCGGAAUUACUGGGCUUAAAGAGUUCGUAGGUGGUUGAAAAAGUUAGUGGUGAAAUCCCAGAGCUUAACUCUGGAACUGCCAUUAAAACUUUUCAGCUAGAGUAUGAUAGAGGAAAGCAGAAUUUCUAGUGUAGAGGUGAAAUUCGUAGAUAUUAGAAAGAAUACCAAUUGCGAAGGCAGCUUUCUGGAUCAUUACUGACACUGAGGAACGAAAGCAUGGGUAGCGAAGAGGAUUAGAUACCCUCGUAGUCCAUGCCGUACACGAUGUGUGUUAGACGUUGGAAAUUUAUUUUCAGUGUCGCAGCGAAAGCGAUAAACACACCGCCUGGGGAGUACGACCGCCAGGUUAAAACUCAAAUGAAUUGACGGGGACCCGCACAAGUAGUGGAGCAUGUGGUUUAAUUCGAAGAUCCGCGCAGAACCUUACCAACACUUGACUGUUCGUCGCGACUCUAAAAAUUAGAGUUUUCGGUUCGGGCGGGACAAACCAGGGGCUGCAUGGCUGUCUCCAGCUCGGGGCGGGAAAGGUGGGGUAAAUCCCGCAACAGCCCACCCUCACCUUUUAUUGCAUCAUUAAUUGGGCCUCCUAAAAACCGGCAGGAAAAACUGGAAGAAGGGGGGAAGACUCCAACCCCCUGGCCCUUUAGGUUGGGCUCACCCCUGUUAAAGGGUUUCAAAAAGGAA
rnacentral:rRNA from 1 species